CACGUAGGGUGCGAGCGUUGUCCGGAAUUAUUGGGCGUAAAGAGCUUGUAGGCGGUUUGUCGCGUCUGCCGUGAAAAUUCGAGGCUCAACCUCGAACUUGCGGUGGGUACGGGCAGACUAGAGUGUGGUAGGGGAGACUGGAAUUCCUGGUGUAGCGGUGAAAUGCGCAGAUAUCAGGAGGAACACCGAUGGCGAAGGCAGGUCUCUGGGCCACUACUGACGCUGAGAAGCGAAAGCAUGGGGAGCGAACAGG
rnacentral:rRNA from 1 species